GCCUGAUGCAGCGACGCCGCGUGCGGGAUGACGGCCUUCGGGUUGUAAACCGCUUUCAGCAGGGAAGAAGCUUUUUGUGACGGUACCUGCAGAAGAAGCGCCGGCUAACUACGUGCCAGCAGCCGCGGUAAUACGUAGGGCGCGAGCGUUAUCCGGAAUUAUUGGGCGUAAAGGGCUCGCAGGCGGUUUGCCACGUCUGCUGUGAAAGCCCGGGGCUUAACUCCGGGUGUGCAGUGGGUACGGGUAGACUAGAGUGCAGUAGGGGAGACUGGAAUUCCUGGUGUAGCGGUGAAAUGCGCAGAUAUCAGGAAGAACACCGAUGGCGAAGGCAGGUCUCUGGGCUGUUACUGACGCUGAGGAGCGAAAGCAUGGGGAGCGAACAGGAUUAGAUACCCUGGUAGUCCAUGCCGUAAACGUUGGGCACUAGGUGUGGGGAACAUUCCACGUUUUCCGCGCCGUAGCUAACGCAUUAAGUGCCCCGCCUGGGGAGUACGGCCGCAAGGCUAAAACUCAAAGGAAUUGACGGGGGCCCGCACAAGCGGCGGAGCAUGCGGAUUAAUUCGAUGCAACGCGAAGAACCUUACCAAGGCUUGACAUGGACCGGAUCGCUGCAGAGAUGUAGUUUCCCUUCGGGGCUGGUUCACAGGUGGUGCAUGGUUGUCGUCAGCUCGUGUCGUGAGAUGUUGGGUUAAGUCCCGCAACGAGCGCAACCCUUGUCCUAUGUUGCCAGCACGUAGUGGUGGGGACUCAUGGGAGACUGCCGGGGUCAACUCGGAGGAAGGUGGGGAUGACGUCAAAUCAUCAUGCCCCUUAUGUCUUGGGCUUCACGCAUGCUACAAUGGCCGGUACAGUGGGUUGCGAUACUGUGAGGUGGAGCUAAUCCCUAAAAGCCGGUCUCAGUUCGGAUCGAAGUCUGCAACUCGACUUCGUGAAGUUGGAGUCGCUAGUAAUCGCAGAUCAGCAAUGCUGCGGUGAAUACGUUCCCGGGCCUUGUACACACCGCCCGUCAAGUCACGAAAGUCGGUAACACCCGAAGCUCACGGCCCAACCCCUUGUGGGAGGGAGUGGUCGAAGGUGGGACCGGCGAUUGGGACUAAGUCGU
rnacentral:rRNA from 1 species